rnacentral:rRNA from 1 species
UACAGAGGGGGCAAGCGUUGUUCGGAAUUACUGGGCGUAAAGGGUGCGCAGGCGGUCCUGCAAGUCAGGCGUGAAACGUCCCCGGGCUUAACCUGGGAAUGGCACUUGAAACUACGGGACUGGAGUAUGGCAGAGGGAGGUGGAAUUCCACGUGUAGCGGUGAAAUGCGUAGAGAUGCGGAGGAACACCGAUGGCGAAGGCAGCCCCCUGGGCCAACACUGACGCUCAGGCACGAAAGCGUGGGGAGCAAACAGG